rnacentral:rRNA from 1 species
CGGAGGAAGGUGGGGAUGACGUCAAGUCAUCAUGCCCCUUAUGUCCAGGGCUUCACGCAUGCCACAAUGGCCGGUACAAUGGGCUGCGAUACCGUGAGGUGGAGCGAAUCCCAAAAAACCGGUCUCAGUUCGGAUUGGGGUCUGCAACUCGACCCCAUGAAGUCGG